rnacentral:misc_RNA from 1 species
AAAGUCGUAACAAGGUUUCCGUAGGUGAACCUGCGGAAGGAUCAUUACCAAAUCCAAAUACCCAAACCCCAUGUGAACUGUUGUUUGUCCUUGGGGGUGGUGGACUUAAGUGAUGCAAAUUGCUUUUGUCGUAACCCCCCCACAUUUUCUAAACAAUGUUGGCCUUUAACUUGGAAUCAUCUUUUAUUAGAAAUAAUGAAAGACAACUUUUAACGGUGGAUCUCUUGGCUCGU